GGGCUCUUGGCACAGGGGUAGCGCGCACGCUUUGCAUUCACAGCAUGCGUGAGGUCGUGGGUUCAAAUCCCACAGUGUCCA